UUGGCUUAGAAGCAGCCAUCCUUGAAAGAGUGCGUAAUAGCUCACUGGUCAAGUGGUUCUGCGCCGACAAUGUAGCGGGGCUCAAGCGUACCGCCGAAGCUGUGGCAGCAACACGUGUGGCUGGCGCCAGUUUAUUGGUUGUUGGUGUGUUGUUGGGUAGGGGAGCGUCCUGCAUGAGGUGAAGCCUGGAGGUGACUUCUGGUGGAUUGUGUGGGAGUGAGAAUGCAGGCAUGAGUAACGAAUCUGCGGUGAGAAUCCGCAGCGCCGAUUGACUAAGGGUUCCAGGGCUAGGUUUAUCCGCCCUGGGUUAGUCGGGUCCUAAGGCGAGGCCGACAGGCGUAGUCGAUGGACAACCAGUUGAUAUUCUGGUACCGCGUUGUGACCGCCCAUGCUGAAGUCAUUGUGCUAACCAAUUUGCUCACCGCCUGCUGGGCCUUCGGGUUUGGUGGUGUGUGUGGGUCUUGGGGUCCCGGUGAUUGUAGGCAAGCGUGUUAACAGGGGUGACGCAGACAGGUAGCUGCAGUGCGCCGAUGGUUGUGCGUAUUUAAGGUUGUGGCCCGUCCCUCAGGUAAAUCCGGGGGGCACCCAGGGUGAGAACUGAUGAGGGUGACACGGAUUGUGUUGUCUUGUGGUGAUCCUAUGCUGCCAAGAAAAGCCUCGACGUGAGGGCAUGACGCGCCCGUACCCUAAACCGACUCAGGUGGUCAGGUAGAGUAUACCGAGGCGUUCGAGUGAAUCAUGGUUAAGGAACUCGGCAAAAUUCCUCCGUAACUUCGGGAUAAGGAGGACCCCUUGACUUCCCCGCGCCAUGCGCGCUGGUGGGGUUGGGGGGUCGCAGAGAAUAGGGAGAAGCGACUGUUUAUCAAAAACACAGGUGCGUGCGAAGCCGUAAGGCGAUGUAUACGCACUGACGCCUGCCCGGUGCUGGAAGGUUAAGAGGAACCGUCAACAUCCCUUUGGGGUGUGAAGCGGUGAAUUUAAGCCCCAGUAAACGGCGGUGGUAACUAUAACCAUCCUAAGGUAGCGAAAUUCCUUGUCGGGUAAGUUCCGACCUGCACGAAUGGCGUAACGACUUCUCCGCUGUCUCAACCGUGAACUCGGUGAAAUUGCAGUACGAGUAAAGAUGCUCGUUUCGCGCAGAAGGACGGAAAGACCCCGGGACCUUUACUAUAGCUUGGUAUUGGUGUUCGCUUGGACUUGUGUAGGAUAGGUGGGAGACUGUGAAGCUGCCGCGCCAGCGGUGGUGGAGUCGUCGUUGAAAUACCAUUCUGGUUCAAGCGGUCACCUUAACCUUGGCCCGUGAUCCGGGUUGGGGACAGUGCCUGGUGGGUAGUUUAACUGGGGCGGUUGCCUCCUAAAAUGUAACGGAGGCGCUCAAAGGUUCCCUCAGCCUGGUUGGUAAUCAGGUGGCGAGUGCAAGUGUACAAGGGAGCUUGACUGUGAGACCGACGGGUCGAGCAGGUGCGAAAGCAGGAACUAGUGAUCCGGCCAUGGCACGUGGGUGCGUGGUCGCUCAACGGAUAAAAGGUACCCCGGGGAUAACAGGCUGAUCUUGCCCAAGAGUCCAUAUCGACGGCAUGGUUUGGCACCUCGAUGUCGGCUCGUCGCAUCCUGGGGCUGGAGUCGGUCCCAAGGGUUGGGCUGUUCGCCCAUUAAAGCGGUACGCGAGCUGGGUUCAGAACGUCGUGAGACAGUUCGGUCCCUAUCCUCUGUGCGCGCAGGAAAUUUGAGAAGGGCCGUCCCUAGUACGAGAGGACCGGGAUGGACGAACCUCUGGUGUGCCAGUUGUACCGCCAGGUGCAUGGCUGGUUAGCUACGUUCGGAAGGGAUAACCGCUGAAAGCAUCUAAGCGGGAAGCCUGCUUCAAGAUGAGGUUUCCGCGCCCCCGAUUGUGGGGUGAGAGGCCCCCGCCAGACGAGCGGGUUGAUAGGCCAGAGGUGGAAGCACCGCGAGGUGCUCGUGAGCCGACUGGUACUAAUGGGCCGACACUAAACACA
rnacentral:rRNA from 1 species